AAACCGGGGCUAAUACCGGAUGCUUGAUUGAACCGCAUGGUUCAAUCAUAAAAGGUGGCUUUUAGCUACCACUUACAGAUGGACCCGCGGCGCAUUAGCUAGUUGGUGAGGUAACGGCUCACCAAGGCGACGAUGCGUAGCCGACCUGAGAGGGUGAUCGGCCACACUGGGACUGAGACACGGCCCAGACUCCUACGGGAGGCAGCAGUAGGGAAUCUUCCGCAAUGGACGAAAGUCUGACGGAGCAACGCCGCGUGAGUGAUGAAGGUUUUCGGAUCGUAAAACUCUGUUGUUAGGGAAGAACAAGUACCGUUCGAAUAGGGCGGUACCUUGACGGUACCUAACCAGAAAGCCACGGCUAACUACGUGCCAGCAGCCGCGGUAAUACGUAGGUGGCAAGCGUUGUCCGGAAUUAUUGGGCGUAAAGCGCGCGCAGGCGGUUUCUUAAGUCUGAUGUGAAAGCCCCCGGCUCA
rnacentral:rRNA from 2 species